AAGUUUAGUUGCUUGUGUUCUUGUUUGCACAAUUUUUUUUUCUGCUUAAUAAGUUUGUCUAAUACUAGUCCCAAGACGUGGCCUGUUGGCUAAAGCUUGCGGUCUCUGAGUACACCCACUCAUAGAUUGCGUAUUUGAAACUGCAAUCGAAACUUUGGGUGAGCUUAACAAGGAAUAAACCCUGGAUGCCUCUUGAGUGUAGGCUUUGUGGCAAGCACAAACAAUUUUGCAAUAUUGUUGAAUACUAAUGCUGCAGAUUGCGAAUAUUUGAUGAUUUCUUGUAUAGACCUGCAACAAGCCUAUCUGUUCUCUGUAAAUGUUCGUAAUUGCUAGAUUAAGUGACUAAUCUGG
rnacentral:misc_RNA from 1 species